GAGUUUAGAGAGAAUUGUUCUGCGCCCACAUCAACAAACUCGUUUCUCACGGCGGUGUUUGUUGACAGAAACUCAUUCUCUUUCUUUCUGCGCCCAGCCAGACCCAACCCGGCCAUCAACGACGACGUCGGUCUAUUUUUUUCUCUUUGCCUUUGUGUCUGUCUAGUCUAGGGUUUCAAACAAAAAACCAACCACCACAACACGAGCCACCCAUGAUGAAUAAUAGCAACGUCAACGGCGCUGCAAAGCAGCGAGACAAAUAUAUCGUUGUAUUUGACAAAGACGAUGAAGACAUCACUAUGAUACCAGAAGAAAAAUUCUUGUCCUUCCGUAGGCCCUUCGGUAGAUCCGAUGCAACAUAUGUGCAAGAUCUUGGCCCGCGUUCGAAUCCGCUUUAAAAGUGUAUGGCAUUGCAUGUGCACUGAAUCUGGAUCAGUAUUUCACCACAUUGUCAACAACCCCGACUUCGGUCAGAAAUGGUGUUUACAAGAUAAGACAUCUUCAUUUACUUCUGUCAGUCAGAGUUCCUAUUCAUCAGGCACUAAGGAUACUGAAAGGUCCAUAUGACAUCAUCCGCACAGGGCAUCAUGUUAAUGGGAUUUGCACAAAAUACAGGAUCACAAGGGAUAUAUAUCAUAAUCGGAAGAAACGUCUCAUGAAUAUCCCCGUAAAGGAACUUGAAGAACUGAUAGACUCUGAAAUUUAUAUGCGCCCAAAGUUUUCAAUGGAAUAUAAUGACCUAGUUGUCGCCAUAGGGGGUUCAGAUCGAGAAUUGAAGCUAGUGAGGCAGAUUGUGUCCGCCUGCAUUGUACGCACAGUGCCUCAUAGUGUCAAGGGAUUGAGAGAUUAUCUUAAGAUGUUCGUGGGUAUUAAAAAGCUGAGUUUAUGAUGAAUAAUGUGUUACAUUAUCCAGUAGCUAUAUUUUCUUCAAUUAUUGUAAAGACAGUGAGUUAACUUAUGAGUGCUGAUGUCAUACGGUCACACUUCUCUCACUUUGGUGGGUUGUUGUAUCAAAACCAUUUUCCUUUCCUUUUG